rnacentral:rRNA from 1 species
UCUAGCCAUGGGCAGGUUGAAGGUUGGGUAACACUAACUGGAGGACCGAACCGACUAAUGUUGAAAAAUUAGCGGAUGACUUGUGGCUGGGGGUGAAAGGCCAAUCAAACCGGGAGAUAGCUGGUUCUCCCCGAAAGCUAUUUAGGUAGCGCCUCGUGAAUUCAUCUCCGGGGGUAGAGCACUGUUUCGGCAAGGGGGUCAUCCCGACUUACCAACCCGAUGCAAACUGCGAAUACCGGAGAAUGUUAUCACGGGAGACACACGGCGGGUGCUAACGUCCGUCGUGAAGAGGGAAACAACCCAGACCGCCAGCUAAGGUCCCAAAGUCAUGGUUAAGUGGGAAACGAUGUGGGAAGGCCCAGACAGCCAGGAUGUUGGCUUAGAAGCAGCCAUCAUUUAAAGAAAGCGUAAUAGCUCACUGGUCGAGUCGGCCUGCGCGGAAGAUGUAACGGGGCUAAACCAUGCACCGAAGCUGCGGCAGCGACGCUUAUGCGUUGUUGGGUAGGGGAGCGUUCUGUAAGCCUGUGAAGGUGUGCUGUGAGGCAUGCUGGAGGUAUCAGAAGUGCGAAUGCUGACAUAAGUAACGAUAAAGCGGGUGAAAAGCCCGCUCGCCGGAAGACCAAGGGUUCCUGUCCAACGUUAAUCGGGGCAGGGUGAGUCGACCCCUAAGGCGAGGCCGAAAGGCGUAGUCGAUGGGAAACAGGUUAAUAUUCCUGUACUUGGUGUUACUGCGAAGGGGGGACGGAGAAGGCUAUGUUGGCCGGGCGACGGUUGUCCCGGUUUAAGCGUGUAGGCUGGUUUUCCAGGCAAAUCCGGAAAAUCAAGGCUGAGGCGUGAUGACGAGGCACUACGGUGCUGAAGCAACAAAUGCCCUGCUUCCAGGAAAAGCCUCUAAGCAUCAGGUAACAUCAAAUCGUACCCCAAACCGACACAGGUGGUCAGGUAGAGAAUACCAAGGCGCUUGAGAGAACUCGGGUGAAGGAACUAGGCAAAAUGGUGCCGUAACUUCGGGAGAAGG